rnacentral:lncRNA from 1 species
GCCAGGUGGAACUUGAUGACACAUGAUCCCACACAAGAAUACACCGAACUGAGUCUUACUGAGGAUCCAUGCUGGAGUGGACUGGAGCUGAUGUCAGGAGCCUUUAAAGACAUACUCUGCUGUCUGAUAGCCUGUGCUGUCUCCAGAGCGUGACUUGCUACCUUUACCCUGGUCCAACGCAUACAACAUAACUUCUGUUCCUGGUCACUGAUCUCCGGGUUUCUGAGAUUCCAGAGUGAUAUGCCUUGGUGUCUCUUUCUUUAUGCUUCGUGUGUCUGAGCUUCAGUGAACUUCUAAGAACUAAGGCUUGUCCAGGAGCACUGACCAGCUAAGCUCCUAGUUGCCACCAAGAAUAGCUGUUCAAACAGUCAUCCUUCAGGCACAGGAAAGCUUUAGUAAGGAGAAAGAAGAGUGUGCCUCUAUCCAUGGCUGGUGCAUCUCCAAAUGAUUUCAAUUUAUGAUGCUAUUUUAAUACAGAAAAAUAAACGAAAACACAAGCACAUUUGACAUUUGAAAUUAUGCUGAUUGGCUGGCAUAUUUUAAAACACAUCAAAUAAAGACAGGCAUCAAUGUUUG